rnacentral:rRNA from 1 species
ACCGGCGCACGGGUGAGUAACGCGUAUCCAACCUUCCCCUUAGUAGGGCAUAGCCCGUAGAAAUGCGGAUUAAUACCCUAUGUUGUUCAAUGCGGACAUCUAAGUUGAAACCAAAGGUUUACCGCUAAGGGAUGGGGAUGCGUCCGAUUAGGCCGCAGGCGGGGUAACGGCCCACCUGGCCAACGAUCGGUAGGGGUUCUGAGAGGAAGGUCCCCCACAUUGGAACUGAGACACGGUCCAAACUCCUACGGGAGGCAGCAGUGAGGAAUAUUGGUCAAUGGGCGAGAGCCUGAACCAGCCAAGUAGCGUGCAGGACGACGGCCCUAUGGGUUGUAAACUGUCUUUUAUGCGGGGAUUAAAGUUCACUACGCGUAGUGUUUUGUAGGUACCGCAUGAAUAAGGACCGGCUAAUUCCGUGCCAGCCGCCGC